GAUGAACGCUGGCGGCGUGCCUAACACAUGCAAGUCGAGCGAUCUUCUUCGGAAGAGAGCGGCGGACGGGUGAGUAACGCGUGGGUAACCUGCCCUGUACACACGGAUAACAUACCGAAAGGUAUGCUAAUACGGGAUAACAUAAGAAAUUCGCAUGUUUUUCUUAUCAAAGCUCCGGCGGUACAGGAUGGACCCGCGUCUGAUUAGCUAGUUGGUGAGGUAACGGCUCACCAAGGCGACGAUCAGUAGCCGACCUGAGAGGGUGAUCGGCCACAUUGGAACUGAGACACGGUCCAAACCCCUACGGGAGGCAGCAGUGGGGAAUAUUGCACAAUGGGCGAAAGCCUGAUGCAGCAACGCCGCGUGAGCGAUGAAGGCCUUCGGGUCGUAAAGCUCUGUCCUCAAGGAAGAUAAUGACGGUACUUGAGGAGGAAGCCCCGGCUAACUACGUGCCAGCGGCCGCAGUAA
rnacentral:rRNA from 1 species